rnacentral:rRNA from 1 species
CCUACGGGAGGCAGCAGUGAGGAAUAUUGGUCAAUGGACGAGAGUCUGAACCAGCCAAGUAGCGUGAAGGAUGACUGCCCUAUGGGUUGUAAACUUCUUUUAUAAAGGAAUAAAACGAGGCACGUGUGCCUUUUUGCAUGUACUUUAUGAAUAAGGAUCGGCUAACUCCGUUCCAGCAGCCGCGGUAAUACGGAGGAUACGAGCGUUAUCCGGAUUUAUUGGGUUUAAAGGGAGCGUAGAUGGGUUGGUAAGUCAGUUGUGAAAGUUUGCGGCUCAACCGUAAAAUUGCAAUUGAUACUGGCAGUCUUGAGUACAGUUGAGGUAGGCGGAAUUCGUGGUGUAGCGGUGAAAUGCUUAGAUAUCACGAAGAACCCCGAUUGCGAAGGCAGCUUACUAAACUGUGACUGACAUUGAUGCUCGAAAGUGUGGGUAGCAAACAGGAUUAGAUACCCUUGUAGUC